GAUCCAAUGGCACAGUUGGUUAAUGCACCUGCUUAGAUUCCAUUGGCAAGUCCUUCAUAAGUAGGAGGCCCUCGCUCGAACCGGGGUUGGAUCA